rnacentral:rRNA from 1 species
GAUGAACGCUAGCGGCAGGCUUAAUACAUGCAAGUCGAGGGGCAGCACAGAUAGCAAUAUUGGGUGGCGACCGGCAAACGGGUGCGGAACACGUACGCAACCUUCCCGAAACAGGUGAAUAGCCCUCCGAAAGGAGGAUUAAUACACCGUAAUAUAUAGAGGUGGCAUCAUUUUUAUAUUAAAGGUCGCAAGAUCGGUUUUGGUAUGGCGUGCGCCUGAUUAGGUAGUUGGGUGGGUAAUGGCCCACCCGAGCCUUCGUAUCAGUAGCUGAUGUGAGAGCAUGAUCAGCCACACGGGC